GAUGAACGCUAGCGGCAGGCCUAAUACAUGCAAGUCGAACGGUCCACUUCGGUGGAUAGUGGCGCACGGGUGCGUAACACGUAUGCAACCUACCUUACAUUGGGGGAUAGCCUUUCGAAAGGGAGAUUAAUACCGCAUAAGACAGUAACAUGGCAUCAUGUAGCUGUUAAAGAUUUAUCGAUGUAAGCUGGGCAUGCGUCCAAGUAGUUAGUUGGUGAGGUAAUGGCUAACCAAGACGAUGAUUGGUAGGGGAACUGAGAGGUCAAUCCCCCGCACUGGCACUGAGAUGCGGGCCAGACUCGUACGGACGGCAGCAGUAGGGAAUAUUGGGCAAUGGACGCAAGUCUGACCCAGCCAUGCCGCGUGCAGGAAGAAGGGGUUCUGCGUUGUAGACUGCUUUUAUAUAGGAAGAAACGACCCUUGCGAGGGGCAUUGACGGUAUUAUAUGAAUAAGCACCGGCUAACUCCGUGCCAGCCGCCGCAGUAAUAC
rnacentral:rRNA from 1 species